UACAGAGGUCUCAAGCGUUGUUCGGAUUCAUUGGGCGUAAAGGGUGUGUAGGUGGCGCGGUAAGUCGGGUGUGAAAUUUCGGAGCUUAACUCCGAAACUGCAUUCGAUACUGCCGUGCUUGAGGACUGGAGAGGAGACUGGAAUUUACGGUGUAGCAGUGAAAUGCGUAGAGAUCAUGAGGAAGACCAGUGGCGAAGGCGGGUCUCUGGACAGUUCCUGACACUGAGACACGAAGGCCAGGGGAGCAAACGGG
rnacentral:rRNA from 1 species